rnacentral:sRNA from 14 species
CGAGUUUUGCAAGUUGCCAAGCAAAGACACGGCCCGUUUUUUGUUUUUUAAAUUUAAAUGAAAUAAUUAAAUUAUUUAAAUAAUGAUUUAAAAUUUUGAAAAACAAUACGUCAAAUGUUUGUGAAAAAAGUGAAUAAAGAAAAUAUUGUAUUUCUAUAUAUGACAUAAAAGGUGGAUAAAUAAAUAUAAAAGGAGAGGAGAAAAAAAGAUUUGUUAUAAGGAAUAAAAAAGUAAUAAUUAAAAAAAUUAUAUGUGAAUAUAGAAUUAAAAGGUUUAUGAAACAACGAAUAUAACAGCAACAAAUCCUGCUAUAAUUGUGGCUGAAAUUCCUGGAGUAGUAGGAGUGUGAUUAGAAAAGUCCUAAGAAAAAAAUGUGCAACAUUUUGAGAGAAAUUACGGGCAAUAUUGCAAAUAUUGAAAAAACCAAAUUCUAAAAAUAUACCUGUAUAAUAUUUAUUUAAAGAAAUUAUAAUAAAAUUACGACAAAAAAAUCCCCUAAAUCCUUAGGGAUAUUUGCAAAAAAGUGUGUUUGUGUUUUUUAUUCAGUGCAGAAAAGGGUGUGUUCCUCGUGCACUGUUUUUAGCUCGCCCAAAGUCAAGGACUUUGUUAAUAAAUUGAUUUUCUUCGCGAGAUAAAGAAGAUUUCUUCCUUGCUGUUAAAACUUUUGGGAAUAUAUAUUCAUGUAGCAAAUAAAGGUAUGAAUCCUUUGAACUUGCUCUCCUUAAACUCAUAGCCCAGCCAAUCCUUUGUGAGAUUUCAGGCGAAUCCUUUUUAUGAAAUAGAUUGUGGUGACUUUAGCCAAGGCGACUCAAACAACAACACCAUCAACUAUGGGUAAAGCAAUUUGCAACCACCCUUAUAAGAACACAAGAUACCCCCUUAUAUGUAUAAGACGGCUUUUACCUUUGCUGCAAAAUACAUAAAACAGAAAAUCCUUGAAA